rnacentral:rRNA from 1 species
CCUGCAUGAAGCCGGAAUUGCUAGUAAUGGCAGGUCAGCAUACUGCCGUGAAUACGUUCCCGGGCCUUGUACACACCGCCCGUCACACCAUGAGAGUUGGGAAUACCCGAAGCCUGUGAGCUAACUAUUUAUAGAGGCAGCAGUCGAAGGUAGAAUCAAUGAUUGGGGUGAAGUCGUAACAAGGUACC